GUACACUCCUGCGGGAGGCAGCAGUGGGGAAUUUUGGACAAUGGGCGAAAGCCUGAUCCAGCAAUGCCGCGUGCAGGAUGAAGGCCUUCGGGUUGUAAACUGCUUUUGUACGGAACGAAAAAGCUCCUUCUAAUACAGGGGGCCCAUGACGGUACCGUAAGAAUAAGCACCGGCUAACUACGUGCCAGCAGCCGCGGUAAUACGUAGGGUGCGAGCGUUAAUCGGAAUUACUGGGCGUAAAGCGUGCGCAGGCGGUUAUGUAAGACAGAUGUGAAAUCCCCGGGCUCAACCUGGGAACUGCAUUUGUGACUGCAUGGCUAGAGUACGGUAGAGGGGGAUGGAAUUCCGCGUGUAGCAGUGAAAUGCGUAGAUAUGCGGAGGAACACCGAUGGCGAAGGCAAUCCCCUGGACCUGUACUGACGCUCAUGCACGAAAGCGUGGGGAGCAAACAGGAUUAGAAACCCUGGUAGUCCCAUGA
rnacentral:rRNA from 1 species